GUCAGAGGAGCGUCUCUCUCAUCUCAUUCCGUAUUUUCUUCCUUUACCGUCUUUCAACUUCAGAACAAGACACAACAUAGCUUCCUUCGUGGGAGAUUCGAUCGCGGAGACAAGAAAAGCCUGCGUGUCGGAAGUGGAAACAAGGCUUCCGGUUCUAUUCUUAUGAACCCCUGAUUCAGGCUCUGUAGAUCAUAUCUUCUCUUUCUUGAUGCCGGAAAUAGUUUUUGGACCGGACAGAAUCCAACCCUGAUCUGCCUACCAAAUGGCACGCGUUCUCCAUCUCUUGUCGCGAAUCCCGUAAUGGGUACUGUUCCAAAGCCAGUAGAAUUUCCCCCAUUGCCUGCUCAUGGUCCAUUUCAGCGUACACAAGGUGCAGUUCCAACGUCUCUUGCUGGAUGAAAGGCUAAUCCAUCUUCCGUGCCUCUCCCUUCUGCUUCCGCAUGUCCUAUGGGACUGGCUGUUCCGAACUGUGCAGUACAAGCGAUAUGAGCGAAGAAAGGGCGAAAAUCCCGAAAAGGACGAGUUUCCAUGGUACACCCGAUCGUGUCAUUUCUCAGCGACACGAUCGGCUCACGACAUCAGGAAGACAAGAACUGUAUCAAGGCUAACCCGAUCAUAUCAUUUCUCAGCCACAUGAUCAGGUCAAGGGAUUCAUUCAGACUUUCACAGAGAAGAUCUAGAGUACAGAAAAGAGGGAGAUUAUCAAAAAGCAAGAGAUUGAAGUAGAAGACGGAGAUCGCGAAGUCGAGAAAUCGACUAAGAGUUUCUUACCUAUUAUAUUUUACGAUGUUUUGCUGUAUUGGUAUGAACCCUGUCAUUUUGAUGUUUAGCGAGUAGUUCAUUUGCUGUAGGUUAGAGAUUUGAUACGUAGGGAUAUUUGGUUUUUAAUUUCAGACUUUGUGAAUUUAUUUAUCCUAUUCAGUUUAUUGAAUUGCUCUUAA